AAGUUUGAAUUUGAUGAUACUUUCUGAGCAGUGAUCAAGUAUCAAACAUUUUCAUUUGGCUUGAAUUGGAACACCACAGGCUGCAGGAGCAUGCUUCCCAUCCUUGAACACAAGGUUUCCUCUGACAAAAGUGUCCAACACUUUUCCGGAUAAACUUCGUCCCAUAUAAGUAGAGAGGUUCUGAAUACCAAAGUGUCAUUUUUUUCAAUUUGUCUAAAAAGUUCAGCAAGAAGAAGCAACCAUAUAGUAGUUUAAAAUGUUGAAUAUUUAUAAUUGGAACAAUGAAAGUCCUAGACAGAAUGACUCCGGGUGUUAAACUACAAUAUGUCCCUCAGCUCCUACCACUUGAGCUAAUUUACGAUGACAGAAAAUUAUAAAUGUUUGAUUACACUAAUUAAAGACAAUUUUUUUUUAAAAUUUUCUUUCCCAUCUAUCUCAACAACUAAAAGCUAAUUAAAUCAAUUUUUUCAAUGGAAAAUGCUGUGGGGCACGACCUUGGGGCUCGUGCACCACGCACGAAGCAUUUUCUGGCGGUUAGAAACCGCCAGAAACCGUAGCUUUUCUUUUUAUUUUGACAGUUGUAAUUUUGUGGCGGUUUUGAACCGCCAGAAAUAUUAGGUUUGCUUUUUUUUUUGGCAGUUGUAAUUUUGUGGCGGUUUAAAACCGCCACAAAAUUACUCUCGUGCAUUCUUCGUACGUGCACUCUCGUACUAUAUAGCAUUGCUCUUUUUCAAAUGCUCAAACAUUGAUUUUUAAAGAAAAAAAAUCACAAACAAAUACCUUUGGGGGGGAAGGGUAGCUCACUUGGUGAGCUAAGGGAAUGAAGAGAUUUGCAGGGUGAAGGGUCAGGGUUCGAAUCCUCGUGAAGAAACUAAUUUACUAACAAUUAACAACUAACAUUGGCCUAUAAAAAAAGCAAACAAAUACCUUUGAUAAAGAUACCAAUAAAAUUCUUAAAUUUUCAAAUACACACUACUUACAAACAUCAAUUAACUACAUAAUUACUUAAUUAGUGACGCACCCAAUUCAUUAAUUGAGUAAAGGUUCAUAAUCAAAAUCUCAUUUCCCUUCCCAAUUUUUUUUUGUUGCUUCCCAAUAUGGUAACUUUUUAUAAGAAUAUUAUAUUAUUUUUUUACAGCAAAAGAAGAAGAGCUUUAUUGAAUAAUUGAGAAAUAAAAGUCAUGAGAACAAGCCUCUCAUGAAAACUUAAUUGAAUCCAAAACAUGCUUAUACCAUUUUUGGAAGAGCACAUUUGGGAAAAAAUCUCAUUAAAAUCUUAAUUAGGAAAAACUCAUUGAGAUAAAAGGAAAAAGAAUUCUCAAAUAACCAAGCGGCUAGAAACCCUCAAAAAAAGACCCAUUACACCCAUUAAAAUAGUUAUACUACAAUAAAAUUCACAAAUCAUUUCUUACACCACAUAAUGUGCAGAUUUGUAAUCUAGUUAUAAUACAUUUUGCAAGUGUUGUGAUUGUGAGAGCUCAUGGUUGAUGGCGGAUUUUAGCUCAUUGAGAAAUGGUUGUGCUCGAUCUAAAGCCAUAACUUUUUCCACUGAAUCAUCAAGUUGCACAGGGUUGUAAUCUCUGAUGUUUUUAAAUAGCACAGGUGGGCCAAAAUAUGGAGAGUCCAGCCUUGGAAAAGGUUGUUGGCUCAAUUCCAUUAGUCUCUUAUCACACUUUAACAUCUUCUCAUAGUGUUUGCCCAAAUCUCCACUAGCGAACUCCAAAUGAUGAAUCCUACAUGAUUAACUCAUAUUUCACAUAGGCAUUACAAUUCAUUCACAUACAAUUAGAGAAAUUAUAAAGCAAAGUUGACCUAUUUUUGAAGGGGUUGUCUAAAUCAUACAAAUUUAUUUUAGGUAAAUAACACUAGCUUAAGUAAAGCGUCCUAGGUUUACUUUUAGUUCAUGACACAUGCCAAAUAAUUAUUGAACCAUUUAAAACUAGAGCAGUUUCAGCCAAUGUUCACUUUGAGAUUUACACUAUAUUUAAAAGAAAAUGUGUUAAAGAUGUGUCUUGUACUUUAAAAUUAUUACUUUUAAUUCCUAUUAAAAUAUUAUUCAAUCAUAAUGCUACACAUUACAAAAAAAUAUCAUGUUUUCUAAUCGGUCACAAAAGACUAAAAGUACAAGAAUUCUGUAUUUUUUAAUGAUUGCAAUAGAAAAUUUUAUAUAGGGUUUAAAAUUAAAAUUUAUUGAUUUUAGUUGAGUGCCACUAGUAGGUAACCCUGAAUUUUAACCUAAGCAUAUGUGACAAAAAAUAAAAUAAAAUGUUUAACAAAGAAAAUAAAUACAUACCGGUACGUCAUAGCAUGACCUCCUGUGAAAUCAUGAUCUGAUAUCUCCCACGUGGUGUGUGUGCUUUGUGAACUAAUCUCCUUAUGAAAAAUUGGUUGCUCAUCAAGCUGGGGAUGAAAAAAGAAUUUCAUUAUCAAAUAAUGUAUAUUGAUUAUUCUAAUUUAUCAAGAGGAAAAGACCAUGAAAGAAAUUAAUAAGAAUAGGAAGAAUAACACACCUCAAUUUCAAGGAUUUCAGUCUUGUUUUCUUCAAUAAAAGCUCUUAUGGCCGAAAUGUUAUCCCAUGGUACUUCAGCUUUGAACUUUUUCUUCUUACUGCUAUCUAAAAUCUCCCAUAUAAGCUUUCUCCUUACAAAUUGACACUUCACAACCAAUUCGUUGACAUUUGUAGGUAUAAACUGCAUCAAAAUUAUUUAUAUUAAAUGUGUAUUCCUUAAUUUCUAGCUAAAAAAUAAAUGUUUUUUAAAUGAAAUUAAUUUUUAUAUGCAUACACAUUAAUCUUUAUUAGCCAUAUAUCAUAUCUUACAUUGUAUUUUCCGAUAUUCAGCAACUUAGCAUAAAAAGUAGCAGGUGCGAACUUGAGCGUUGUUGAUGAGUUUUGCUUUUUGGAUUUUUGCAUCUUACGCCACAUUUCCUCUCGUUCUUUCAUUGCAGACGCCGUGCGCUUCAAUCCGAGUGGUGGUUUAGGGCACAAAUUGCGUUCCAAUCUUGCAUUGAGUAGAUGUGGCUGCAAAAAAAUUAAAAUUAGAAAGAAACAAAAACAUUUAUUCAUAAAGUAUGAAAUUAAAAAAUAUGCACUUUGUAGAAUCACUUUACACAUACAAAUUUCAGAAAGAAAAAAAAAACUUUACACAUACAACCAACUUCAGCUUUUUGCCCAUCCGAUACUCAAUUUUCAAAAAAAAAAUAAUAUUUGAAUUAAAAUAAAACAAAAUCUCACAUAGUCAAUUUUUUUCUCUGUUGCCACUGCGUUCUGUCUCUUUUCUCCCUGAUACAUGAAAUCAACCCCCUAAUUCACUUCCCCUCUAUUCCUCAAAUGUGUAUCAUAUUUUAAAUUGAUUUCUAACAUGGAUAAAAAUUGAAAUUCUAUUGGUUUAAACUGACAGUAUCCUUUAAUCUCUAAAGUAAUUCACUGCAAGAAACUGUUUCUUAAAAAAAAAAUUGGAAUCCACUACAAGAAACAGUUUAAUUAACCUGACUAACCUCUCUCUCGUUCAUUGAAGAUGAUGAGAGCUCCAAUCCAAAUGGUGGUUUAGUGUUCAUAAUUCCUUCCAAUAUUUCACUGAUUUUUUACAGCUAUAUAUAAGAAAUAGUUUUUAUUUUAUAUAUUUUAAAUUCAAAGACAGUUUAACCUAACUAAUUCUAUCUAAUCGUUUCAAAAAAUCCUAACUAACAGCUUUAUCGUCCCUAUCAAAUAGUAAAUAAUACUAUUCUAUUACUUCGGCCUAUCAAAACAACUAUUUCACAACAUCCGUAAAAUAAAAAUCUAUUAAAAUAUUACUAGUUUAUGUAUUUAAUUACCUUCCAAUCGAUAUUUACUAUAUUAUUUCUUUUUAUUAUCCACUUAUUAAUUGAUUCACAUUAUCUAUUCAGAGGAUGUACAAAUAUCAUAAUUUGAAAUUACCAUAAUUAUUUAUUUCUAUAAAGAUUUCCAUAAUUUUAAAAUGUUUAUUUUCACUAUUGGAUUAACUUGAAGGGUUAGGACUCAGGAUUGAAUCUCAAUAGACAUGAAUCCGCAAACUCAAUCUGUAGAAUAUUUUAGUUAGUAUUAUUACACCAAGUUUGAAUUUGAUGAUACUUUCUGAGCAGUGAUCAAGUAUCAAACAUUUUCAUUUGGCUAGAAUUGGAACACCACAGGCUGCAGGAGCAUGCUUCCCAUCCUUGAACACAAGGUUUCCUCUGACAAAAGUGUCCAACACUUUUCCGGAUAACCUUCGUCCCAUAUAAGCAGAGAGGUUCUGAAUACCAAAGAGUCAUUUUUUUCAGUUUGUCUAAAAAGUUCAGCAAGAAGAAGCAACCAUAUAGUAGUUUAAAAUGUUUUGAUUUAUAGUUGGAACAAGGAAACCCAUAGACAGAAUGAGUUAAAUAACAGAAUAAAG
rnacentral:lncRNA from 1 species